AUGGUUAAGUUAGAAAGGGCGCACGGUGAAUGCCUUGGCACUAGGAGCCGAUGAAGGACGGGACUAACACCGAUAUGCUUCGGGGAGCUGUAAGUGAGCUUUGAUCCGGAGAUUUCCGAAUGGGGAAACCCACUGUUCGUAAUGGAACAGUAUCUUUAUCUGAAUACAUAGGAUAUUGAAGGCAGACCCGGGGAACUGAAACAUCUAAGUACCCGGAGGAAGAGAAAGCAAAUGCGAUUUCCUGAGUAGCGGCGAGCGAAACGGAAUUAGCCCAAACCAAGAGGCUUGCCUCUUGGGGUUGUAGGACACUCUAUACGGAGUUACAAAGGAACGAAGUAAAUGAAGCGACCUGGAAAGGUCCGUCGAAGAAGGUAACAACCCUGUAGUUGAAACUUCGUUCCCUCUUGAGUGGAUCCUGAGUACGGCGGAACACGUGAAAUUCCGUCGGAAGCUGGGAGGACCAUCUCCCAAGGCUAAAUACUACCUAGUGACCGAUAGUGAACCAGUACCGUGAGGGAAAGGUGAAAAGCACCCCGGAAGGGGAGUGAAAGAGAUCCUGAAACCGUGUGCCUACAAGUAGUCAGAGCCCGUUAACGGGUGAUGGCGUGCCUUUUGUAGAAUGAACCGGCGAGUUACGAUCCCAUGCAAGGUUAAGCUGAUAAGGCGGAGCCGUAGCGAAAGCGAGUCUGAAUAGGGCGUUUAGUAUGUGGUUGUAGACCCGAAACCAGGUGAUCUACCCAUGUCCAGGGUGAAGUUCAGGUAACACUGAAUGGAGGCCCGAACCCACGCACGUUGAAAAGUGCGGGGAUGAGGUGUGGGUAGCGGAGAAAUUCCAAUCGAACCUGGAGAUAGCUGGUUCUCUCCGAAAUAGCUUUAGGGCUAGCCUCAUGUUGUGAGAGUCUUGGAGGUAGAGCACUGAUUGGACUAGGGGCCCCCAACGGGUUACCGAAUUCAGUCAAACUCCGAAUGCCAAAGACUUAUCCAUGGGAGUCAGACUGCGAGUGAUAAGAUCCGUAGUCAAAAGGGAAACAGCCCAGACCACCAGCUAAGGUCCCCAAGUAUACGUUAAGUGGAAAAGGAUGUGGAGUUGCUUAGACAACCAGGAUGUUGGCUUAGAAGCAGCCACCAUUUAAAGAGUGCGUAAUAGCUCACUGGUCGAGUGACUCUGCGCCGAAAAUGUACCGGGGCUAAACGUAUCACCGAAGCUGUGGAUUGACAUCUUUGAUGUCAGUGGUAGGAGAGCGUUCUAAGUGCUGUGAAGUCAGACCGUAAGGACUGGUGGAGCGCUUAGAAGUGAGAAUGCCGGUAUGAGUAGCGAAAGACAAGUGAGAAUCUUGUCCACCGAAUGCCUAAGGUUUCCUGAGGAAGGCUCGUCCGCUCAGGGUUAGUCGGGACCUAAGCCGAGGCUGAAAAGCGUAGGCGAUGGCCAACAGGUUGAUAUUCCUGUACCACCUCCCCGCCGUUUGAGUAAUGGGGGGACGCAGUAGGAUAGGGUAAGCGCGCUGCUGGAUAUGCGCGUUCAAGCAGUUAGGCUGAUGAGUAGGCAAAUCCGCUCAUCAUAAAGGCUGAGCUGUGAUGACGAGGGAAUUAUAGUACCGAAGUUCCUGAUUCCACACUGCCAAGAAAAGCCUCUAGCGAGGCGGGAGGUGCCCGUACCGCAAACCGACACAGGUAGGCGAGGAGAGAAUCCUAAGGUGAUCGAGAGAACUCUCGUUAAGGAACUCGGCAAAAUGACCCCGUAACUUCGGGAGAAGGGGUGCUCUGGUAGGGUGUAUAGCCCGAGAGAGCCGCAGUGAAUAGGCCCAGGCGACUGUUUAGCAAAAACACAGGUCUCUGCGAAGCCGCAAGGCGAAGUAUAGGGGCUGACGCCUGCCCGGUGCUGGAAGGUUAAGAGGAGGGGUUAUCCUUUGGGAGAAGCUCUGAAUCGAAGCCCCAGUAAACGGCGGCCGUAACUAUAACGGUCCUAAGGUAGCGAAAUUCCUUGUCGGGUAAGUUCCGACCCGCACGAAAGGCGUAACGAUCUGGGCACUGUCUCAACGAGAGACUCGGUGAAAUUAUAGUACCUGUGAAGAUGCAGGUUACCCGCGACAGGACGGAAAGACCCCGUGGAGCUUUACUGUAGCCUGAUAUUGAAUUUUGGUACAGCUUGUACAGGAUAGGUAGGAGCCUGAGAAGCCGGAGCGCUAGCUUCGGUGGAGGCGUCGGUGGGAUACUACCCUGGCUGUAUUGAAAUUCUAACCCGCGGCCCUGAUCGGGCCGGGAGACAGUGUCAGGUGGGCAGUUUGACUGGGGCGGUCGCCUCCUAAAAUGUAACGGAGGCGCCCAAAGGUUCCCUCAGAAUGGUUGGAAAUCAUUCGUAGAGUGUAAAGGCACAAGGGAGCUUGACUGCGAGACCUACAAGUCGAGCAGGGACGAAAGUCGGGCUUAGUGAUCCGGUGGUUCCGCAUGGAAGGGCCAUCGCUCAACGGAUAAAAGCUACCCCGGGGAUAACAGGCUUAUCUCCCCCAAGAGUCCACAUCGACGGGGAGGUUUGGCACCUCGAUGUCGGCUCAUCGCAUCCUGGGGCUGUAGUCGGUCCCAAGGGUUGGGCUGUUCGCCCAUUAAAGCGGUACGCGAGCUGGGUUCAGAACGUCGUGAGACAGUUCGGUCCCUAUCCGUCGUGGGCGUAGGAAAUUUGAGAGGAGCUGUCCUUAGUACGAGAGGACCGGGAUGGACACACCGCUGGUGUACCAGUUGUCUUGCCAAAGGCAUCGCUGGGUAGCUAUGUGUGGACGGGAUAAGUGCUGAAAGCAUCUAAGCAUGAAGCCCCCCUCAAGAUGAGAUUUCCCAUAGCGCAAGCUAGUAAGAUCCCUGAAAGAUGAUCAGGUUGAUAGGUCAGAGGUGGAAGCGUGGCGACAUGUGUAGCUGACUGAUACUAAUCGAUCGAGGACUUAACCAAA
rnacentral:rRNA from 5 species